rnacentral:rRNA from 1 species
GUAGGUGGCAAGCGUUGUCCGGAAUUAUUGGGCGUAAAGCGCGCGCAGGCGGUUCUUUAAGUCUGAUGUGAAAGCCCACGGCUCAACCGUGGAGGGUCAUUGGGAACUGGAGAACUUGAGUACAGAAGAGGAAAGCGGAAUUCCACGUGUAGCGGUGAAAUGCGUAGAGAUGUGGAGGAACACCAGUGGCGAAGGCGGCUUUCUGGUCUGUAACUGACGCUGAGGCGCGAAAGCGUGGGGAGCAAACAGGGAUUAGAUACCCUGGUAGUCCACGCCGUAAACGAUGAGUGCUAAGUGUUAGGGGGGUUUCCGCCCCCUUAGUGCUGCAGCUAACGCAUUAAGCACUCCGCCUGGGGAUACGGCCGCAAGGCUG